GCAAGUCGAGCGAACGGACUAGAAUCUUGCUUCUCUGAUGUUAGCGGCGGACGGGUGAGUAACACGUGGAUAACCUACCUAUAAGACUGGGAUAACUUCGGGAAACCGGAGCUAAUACCGGAUAAUAUUUUGAACCGCAUGGUUCAUAAGUGGAAGACGGUCUUGCUGUCACUUAUAGAUGGAUCCGCGCUGCAUUAGAUAGUUGGUAAGGUAACGGCUUACCCCGGCAACGAUGCAUAUCCGACCUGAGAGGGUGAUCGGCCACGCUGGAUCUGAGACGCAGGAUCCAGACUCCUACUGUAGGCAACAGUAGGGAAUCUUCCUCAGUGGGCGGAAGCCAUGAACCGAACAACGCCGCGUGAGUGAUGAAGGUCUUCGCAUCGUAAAACUCUGUUAUUAGGGAAGAACAUAUGUGUAAGUAUCUGUGCACAUCUUGACGGUGCCUAAUCAGAAAGCCACGGCUCAGUACGUACCAGCAGCCGCGGUAAUAGGUAGGUGGCAAGCGUUAUCCGGAAUUAUUGGUCGUAAAGCGCGAGUAGGCGGUUUUUUAAGUAUGAUGUGAAAACCCACGUCUCAUCCGUGGAGGGUCAUUGGAAUCUGGAAAUCUUGAGUGCAGAAGAGGAAAGUGGAAUUCCAUGUGUAGCGGUGAAAUGCGCAGAGAUAUGGAGGAACACCGGUGCCGAAGGCGACUUUGUGGUCUGUAUCUUCCUCUGAUGUGCGAAAGCGUGGGGAUCAAACACGAUCAGAUUCCGUGGUAGUGCUCGCCCUAAACGAUGAGUACUAAGUGUUAGGUGGUUUCCGCCCCUUAGUGCUGCAGCUAACGCAUUAAGCACUC
rnacentral:rRNA from 1 species